GCUCGAAGAGGGGCUCGCGUCCGAUUAGCUAGUUGGUGGGGUAAGAGCUUACCAAGGCAGCGAUCGGUAGCUGGUCUGAGAGGACGAGCAGCCACACUGGGACUGAGACACGGCCCAGACUCCUACGGGAGGCAGCAGUGGGGAAUUUUCCGCAAUGGGCGAAAGCCUGACGGAGCAAUACCGCGUGAGGGAAGAAGGCUUUUGGGUUGUAAACCUCUUUUCUCAGGGAAGAAAAAAAUGACGGUACCUGAGGAAUAAGCAUCGGCUAACUCCGUGCCAGCAGCCGCGGUAAUACGGAGGAUGCAAGCGUUAUUCGGAAUUAUUGGGCGUAAAGCGUCCGCAGGUGGUACUUCAAGUCUGCUGUCAAAGACCGAAGCUCAACUUCUGGCAGGCAGUGGAAACUGAAGAACUAGAGUACGGUAGGGGUAGAGGGAAUUUCCAGUGUAGCGGUGAAAUGCGUAGAGAUUGGAAAGAACACCAAUGGCGAAGGCGCUCUACUGGACCUGUACUGACACUCACGGACGAAAG
rnacentral:rRNA from 1 species